UACGGCGGGGGCAAGCGUUGUUCGGAAUUACUGGGCGUAAAGGGCUCGUAGGUGGCCAACUAAGUCAGACGUGAAAUCCCUCAGCUUAACUGGGGAACUGCGUCUGAUACUGGAUGGCUUGAGAUUGGGAGAGGGAUGCGGAAUUCCAGGUGUAGCGGUGAAAUGCGUAGAUAUCUGGAGGAACACCGGUGGCGAAGGCGGCAUCCUGGACCAACACUGACACUGAGGAGCGAAAGCCAGGGGAGCAAACGGG
rnacentral:rRNA from 1 species